CAUCCGCAAAUGGGGCGCAACAGCUGCGGUGAUGGAUCUGGUUCCAGGAGAAAGCACUGGGGGUGGUGGGUGCAGCAGCAUCAUGAAGGUUGGUGAUCUUAUGAAUUCUGCUAUUAUGGGAAAAUCCGAGAGGUUCAUGUAGAGAAUGAGAAGGUUAUCCAAGAGUAUGUUCUAGGUGAAUAUGACCCUGAUGCAACCGAUGCUUACCAUGACAAUCACACCUCCGAGUCUGCCGAUGAGGAUCACGUGAAAGAUACUUCUAAGAGAGUGCUAGCACGCUACAUUGGAGAGAAAGCGUUGAGAGAAUGCUUUGUUGGGAUGAUAGACAUGAAUAAUCAAUUCUCAUUCCAGGGUUAGAUUUGCACUUCCUGCCCAGUUCUUUUUCACAAAGGACGAAGCCUCUUACUUUACCCAUUUCUUAAUUUUGUUCCUUCACAGAAAAAUAUUUUCUCAUUUCAAUCUUUCUCCAUUUGGUAUGAGUAUGAC